rnacentral:lncRNA from 1 species
AUUUUGGAGCCGUAUCGGAAGCACAAGUGUCAUGGGCUGAAAGGCCGCCUUCUCCUGCGGGCUAAGGGUGUGGGCGACAGCUCGCACAUUCAAAUAAGGGAGCGAUUACACGGCGCUUGCUUCUGAAGACGGAUUUCCUGAGACUUUUAUGCGAGUGUGAGGGCCAGCAGGUGCACAUUUGAAGCUCAGUGGGAAGUGUUUUCCAAGCAACAGGAGACAGCAGAUGCAGAUGGGGUCCAAUUACUGCUGCUCACGGCUGAUCACGCCAUGCACUUGUGUGCGGAUACCUGGCUCCUGGUCUCAGGCACCUAGUAUGGGGCUAUGCACACGGGAACGCUCAUGGAUUCCUGAGAAGUUGGCUGGAACUAAGGGAGCAUUCAGAGACCACAGAUCCAGUUGACUGGUCCCUGCUGACAUCCAGUCCACGUUGUUGGCCACAUCAGCUCCUCUUCAAACUCAUGAUGCAAAUCAACAGCUAAACAUGUUGAUAUUUUUUGUUUCUCUCAGCUAAGUGGAUCCCUGAGUCCUCCUGGUGCAGUGGAAAGAUUUGAGUUUUGCAGCCAAA